AUGCCAACUAAGAGGAAGGCAGACAUUGUUGAUAUCAGUCCAACAAGUUUUGGUGUCAGGCAAAUCGAAUUAGCUAAGAAUGCAGAUCAUCUAUACAACAAUCUGAUCGGACCAAUUGCGAAACGUCAACGCCAAUCUAUAGUAGGGGUAGAAGAGGUUGUUGAUGUGCCAGACGACACUGAUAAUCAUAUCAUUAUCGAUGAACUUGCACCGGACACCAUUGUCAAUCAAGGUGGACAUGAUGAUUUGAUCAUUUUGCGACCAAAAAUUCUCCUGGAACUCCCAUUCAAGGAAAACGAAAGGUUCCUUGUGUCAAACAAAGAGUGCAUGCAUUACAACUCAAUAAUCGAACUUGCCUAUACAAAAAGAAUUCAGAGCAAGUAUGCGUUGACGUACUCCAUGGUUCAUUGUAAUUAUGUAUCACUUGGACAAAGCCUUAUGCCAACCGGGCACGUCGACAACUUCUUGAUCCCUUACUUUUGUCGAAAGUUCUUCGAGGACUGUCAUCCCUCAAUCUCUGGAAGGCACCAUUUCUUUCCGAAUAUUGGUGAGAACAUACUGAACUACCAAGACGAUAAACUACGAUCAAUUGCCACUUCGUUUUUGGGGGCAGCAUCAGCAAGUAGGGGUAAACGUCUAGAUUUGUCAAAUACGCUAUUCUUCCCCACAUGCCUCGACAACCAUUGGAUAGUGUUUGCUGUCGAUUUCAAGUGGCAACUUUUUGCUUUCUUGGAUUCUUUUUAUGACAAGGUCUCAUAUCUUCACAAGACUAUCAGAGAGAAAUUUAUCAAGAACUUCAUCAAGUUGUGGGAAAUCAUUUUCCAAACAGACCAGCAUAAUUUCAAGAUUUUCAUAAGGAUGUACCCUCACGUGCCAAAGCAGACUAAUGAAAAGGAUUGUGGAGUGUUUGCAACAAAGAUAAUGGAGAUAUGGGCACCACCCUUGGAUCUGCGCAAGAUUUUCUCACAUGACGACAUCCACCACAUAAGAAUUCAGUACAUGAACCAACUUUUCUUUUGGAAGAAAAACACUGCAGACAAGAGCCUUGUCACUGGUUUCAACUUAUAG
rnacentral:rRNA from 1 species